rnacentral:rRNA from 1 species
GAUGAACGCUGGCGGCGUGCUUAACACAUGCAAGUCGAACGUGAGAGGUUAGCAAUAAUCUUGAAAGUGGCGCACGGGUGAGUAAUACGUAGGUAACCUGCCCUGGAGUGGGGGAUAACAACUGGAAACGGUUGCUAACACCGCAUAAUACCGGAUGUCUGGGAAGACGACUGGUAAAAACUCUGGUGCUUCAGGAGGGGCCUGCGGCCGAUUAGCUAGUUGGCGGGGUAAGAGCCCACCAAGGCAUUGAUCGGUAGCUGGUCUGAGAGGACGAUCAGCCACACGGGAACUGAGACACGGUCCCGACUCCUACGGGGGGCAGCAGUGAGGAAUACUGGGCAAUGGGCGAAAGCCUGACCCAGCAACGCCGCGUGGAGGAAGACGGCCUUCGGGUUGUAAACUCCUUUUACGGGGGAAGAGGAAGGACGGUACUCCCAGAAUAAGUCUCGGCUAACUACGUGCCAGCAGCCGCCGUAAAAC